rnacentral:snoRNA from 16 species
UGCGUCUGGUGAGGAUAGAAAAAGGACAGGUUUCGCUAAAAUUAGCAGAACGAGAACAUGUCGAGAUACCUUGGCUGUCUGAGGACG